rnacentral:rRNA from 1 species
UGCGGUUAAAAAGCUCGUAGUUGGAGUUCUGCCAGGUGCCGCCUGUCCGCCCCAGUGGUGAGUACGUGGCGCGCAUUUGGCCCUUUCAAGGGGAGCGUAUUGCACUUAACUGUGUGGUGCGGGAUCCUUGACUUUUACUUUGAGGAAAUAAGAGUGUUCCAAGCAGGCUCUCGUCGUGCAUAGCUCAGCAUGGAAUAAUAGCAUUGGAUCUCGAUUCCAAACUGUUGGUUGUAGGAAACGAGAUAAUGAUGAAGAGGGAUAGUUGGGGGCAUUCGUAUUUAACUGUCAGAGGUGAAAUUCUUGGAUUUGUUAAAGACGAACUACUGCGAAAGCAUCUGCCAUGGAUGUUUUCAUUGAUCAAGAACGAAAGUUAGGGGAUCGAAGACGAUCAGAUACCGUCCUAGUCUUAACUAUAAACCAUGCCGGCUAGAGAUCGGAGGUUGUUCGUUUUGUGACGCCUUCAGCAUCUUGAGAGAAAUCAAAGCCUUUGGGUUCCGGGGGGAGUAUGGUCGCAAGGCUGAAACUUAAAGGAAUUGACGGAAGGGCACCACCAGGAGUGGAGCCUGCGGCUUAAUUUGACUCAACACGGGGAAACUCACCAGGUCCAGACUGGGUAAGGAUGUACAGAUUGACAGCUCUUUACAGAUUCUCA